UGGGGAAUAUUGCACAAUGGGCGCAAGCCUGAUGCAGCCAUGCCGCGUGUGUGAAGAAGGCCUUCGGGUUGUAAAGCACUUUCAGCGAGGAGGAAGGUGGUGAGCUUAAUACGCUCAUCAAUUGACGUUACUCGCAGAAGAAGCACCGGCUAACUCCGUGCCAGCAGCCGCGGUAAUACGGAGGGUGCAAGCGUUAAUCGGAAUUACUGGGCGUAAAGCGCACGCAGGCGGUUUGUUAAGUCAGAUGUGAAAUCCCCGGGCUCAACCUGGGAACUGCAUUUGAAACUGGCAAGCUAGAGUCUCGUAGAGGGGGGUAGAAUUCCAGGUGUAGCGGUGAAAUGCGUAGAGAUCUGGAGGAAUACCGGUGGCGAAGGCGGCCCCCUGGAGAAGACUGACGCUCAGGUGCGAAAGCGUGGGGAGCAAACAGAUUAGUACCCUGGUAGUCAGCGCCUGUAAACGAUGUCGAUUUUGGNGGUUGUGCCCCUUGAGGCGUGGCUUCCGAGCUAANGCGUUAAAUCGACCGCC
rnacentral:rRNA from 1 species